UAUGCACUCUACUGUAAGUCGCUCUGGAUAAGAGCGUAUGCUAAAUGACGUAAA
rfam:Salmo salar isolate Sally breed double haploid chromosome ssa15, whole genome shotgun sequence.